GCUGACGAGGCCUUUACUGACGCUAAAGCUCGAAGGUGCGGGUAUCGAACAGGAUUAGAUACCCUGGUAGUCCGCACGGUAAACGAUGGAUGCCCGCUGUUUGCGAUACACUGUGAGCGGCCAAGCGAAAGCGUUAAGCAUCCCACCUGGGGAGUACGCCGGCAACGGUGAAACUCAAAGGAAUUGACGGGGGCCCGCACAAGCGGAGGAACAUGUGGUUUAAUUCGAUGAUACGCGAGGAACCUUACCCGGGCUUGAACUGCCGGCGUACGAUACAGAGAUGUUGAGGCCCUUCGGGGCGCCGGUGGAGGUGCUGCAUGGUUGUCGUCAGCUCGUGCCGUGAGGUGUCGGCUUAAGUGCCAUAACGAGCGCAACCCCUCUCCGUAGUUGCCAUCGGGUGAUGUCGGGCACUCUGCGGACACUGCCACCGUAAGGUGUGAGGAAGGUGGGGAUGACGUCAAAUCAGCACGGCCCUUACGUCCGGGGCUACACACGUGUUACAAUGGGUGGUACAGAGGGCAGGCGGCCGGCGACGUUCGUCGAAUCCUAAAAGCCAUCCUCAGUUCGGACUGGGGUCUGCAACCCGACCCCACGAAGCUGG
rnacentral:rRNA from 1 species